rnacentral:rRNA from 1 species
UACGUAGGGGGCUAGCGUUGUCCGGAUUUAUUGGGCGUAAAGAGCGUGUAGGCGGCCAGGUAGGUCGGUUGUGAAAACUGGAGGCUCAACCUUCAGAGGUCGACCGAAACCAUCUGGCUAGAGUCCGGGAGAGGAGAGUGGAAUUCCAGGUGUAGCGGUGAAAUGCGUAGAUAUCUGGAGGAACACCGGUGGCGAAGGCGGCAUCCUGGACCGGCAUUGACGCUGAGGCGCGAAAGCCAGGGGAGCAAACGGG